UUAAAUNUCACUGGACCUAGCACCUAGGG
rnacentral:piRNA from 1 species